AGUGAACGCUGGCGGUAGGCCUAACACAUGCAAGUCGAACGGCAGCACAGUAAGAGCUUGCUCUUACGGGUGGCGAGUGGCGGACGGGUGAGGAAUACAUCGGAAUCUACUUUUUCGUGGGGGAUAACGUAGGGAAACUUACGCUAAUACCGCAUACGACCUACGGGUGAAAGCAGGGGAUCUUCGGACCUUGCGCGAUUGAAUGAGCCGAUGUCGGAUUAGCUAGUUGGCGGGGUAAAGGCCCACCAAGGCGACGAUCCGUAGCUGGUCUGAGAGGAUGAUCAGCCACACUGGAACUGAGACACGGUCCAGACUCCUACGGGAGGCAGCAGUGGGGAAUAUUGGACAAUGGGCGCAAGCCUGAUCCAGCCAUACCGCGUGGGUGAAGAAGGCCUUCGGGUUGUAAAGCCCUCUUGUUGGGAAAGAAAAGCAGCAGGUUAAUACCCCGCUGUUCUGACGGUACCCAAAGAAUAAGCACCGGCUAACUGCGU
rnacentral:rRNA from 1 species